CACCUUUGGUGUUAAGAUACCAAAGCAGCUCACAUUAACCUGAAGCUUUUCAGAAGAUUCAUGAAAGAUGCCGAAUGUCACGGGAAGGCCAAAGUCCACAUGAGGAGAAAGGAUGCCUAAGGAUAAACAGUCCCUAAUAAUAAUAAUUGCAAGAACUAGCUGGGUGUGGCGGCGUGUGCCUGCAAUCCAGGUUACUUGGGAGGCUGAGGCAGGAGGAUCGCUUGAGCCCAGGAAUUUGAAACUAGCUUGGGCCACAUAGCGAAACCCUGUCUCUACAAAAAAUAAAAAAAAUUAGCCAGGCAUGGUGGUGCACACCUGUAGUCCCAGCUACUCUGAAGGCUGAGGUUAGAGGAUCGCUUCAGCCCAGGAGUUUGAAGCUGCAGUGAGUUAUGAUUACGCCACUGGACUCCAGCCUGGGUGACAGAGUGAGAACGCUGCAGCUACCAUUUCCUCCCUUCACUACGUUUUAGAUUCUUUCCUUUUCAUUCCUGUCAUUACCAUGCUAACGUACAUCUCUAUCCACCUUACUGUUGGGCAGGUAUGAGCGGCUUGCUGGCUGUUCUUCCUUGCCUUUUGGUCUGUUUCUACUUAGCUGACUCCUCAAUUGGGGAGAAACAUUCUUCAUCAAUACUAGACUGUUAUAGGCUGUCCCUUGUGAUUUCAAACUCUAGUACCAGAUACUGUUCUCUGGUUGGUUCUUAUGGGCAUCACUUGUUUUUCUGGCUAAAUACUAGAUCUAAGGUAGGAAUAUGGCUUUUGUUUUACUAGCAGUGUUCAAGCCCUACUGUGAGCGCACUGCUAGACUGUCAGAUCUCUGAGAAUUUCAGAGGAUUCCUAUAUAAUGUUAAGUGACUAAACUUAAUAAACUUAAUUAAAAUCAACAUCUCAAGAUAAUGAGACAGUCUCCUCUUCACUCACAAAUUGCUACAAAGAGUUUUUGCUGCUGCAAUAUCUUUUGAUAUGGGGCUGUUCCUCUCUCUGGGGUCUGAGGGAUAUGUGAUUUAAUAGAUUAAUAAGUACCUUGAAGAUGGGGUGCAGUCCUGGGAGGCACCGCAUGGUGGCGACAGCGAUGACCUCAGCCACCAGAUGGGUGUUCAGCAAGUGAUACUGGAUCUCGUGCAGUUGGAAAUCUGAAUUUCGGACCCAGGACUUUGCCAGGAGCCAGGCAAGUGGGGGGUCUGAGGGCAGGAACAGUGUUGGGGUUGGAGAGCUGGGGUUGGGAGGCUGAAUCUGGGAGAAAGAGAAAUUAUUGAACUCCCAUUCCGUAUAUGACAUUAUAGUCAGCAUUCUUGCGGGAAACAGAGAUGACUAAGUAAGAUUAUUGCCUUCUAGGAGGUUAUAGUCUAGCAGGAGGACUGUGAACCCUCCCAGCCUGCCGCUCGCUAGCUGGAGUGCCCUGAUGUCAGGUGGAAGGCAGGAGGGACUGGAAGAAGGGGGUCCAGAAGGAGGCCCUAAUAGUGGUGUGGGAGAAACCUGCUGCUUUGGGGUCGGCGCUCAGAUGGUGGUGGAAUGUGAAGGAGAAGUAGGAGGUGUAAGAUUAUUGACAGUUCUUGUCACCUGAACUGAGAGACAAGUGACAAGUGACAAGUGACAAGUUAAGAAUAGUGAGAGAAGGCCAGGUGCGGUGGCUCACACCUGUAAUGCCAGCACUUUGGGAGGCCGAGGCAGGCAGAUUACUUGAGCCCAGAAGUUCAAGACCAGCCUGGGCAAUAUGGCGAAACCCCAUCUCUACAAAAAAUACAAAAAUUAGCCAGGCCCACAUGGUGGCACAUGCCUGUGGUCCCAGCUACUGGAGGGACUGAGGUGGGAGAAUUGCUUGAACCCAGGAGGCGCAGGUUGC
rnacentral:lncRNA from 1 species